GACGAACGCUGGCGGCGUGCUUAACACAUGCAAGUCGAACGGAAAGGCCCUGCUUUUGUGGGGUGCUCGAGUGGCGAACGGGUGAGUAACACGUGAGUAACCUGCCCUUGACUUUGGGAUAACUUCAGGAAACUGGGGCUAAUACCGGAUAGGAGCUCCUGCUGCAUGGUGGGGGUUGGAAAGUUUCGGCGGUUGGGGAUGGACUCGCGGCUUAUCAGCUUGUUGGUGGGGUAGUGGCUUACCAAGGCUUUGACGGGUAGCCGGCCUGAGAGGGUGACCGGCCACAUUGGGACUGAGAUACGGCCCAGACUCCUACGGGAGGCAGCAGUGGGGAAUAUUGCACAAUGGGCGGAAGCCUGAUGCAGCAACGCCGCGUGCGGGAUGACGGCCUUCGGGUUGUAAACCGCUUUCGCCUGUGACGAAGCGUGAGUGACGGUAAUGGGUAAAGAAGCACCGGCUAACUACGUGCCAGCAGCCGCGGUGAUACGUAGGGUGCGAGCGUUGUCCGGAUUUAUUGGGCGUAAAGGGCUCGUAGGUGGUUGAUCGCGUCGGAAGUGUAAUCUUGGGGCUUAACCCUGAGCGUGCUUUCGAUACGGGUUGACUUGAGGAAGGUAGGGGAGAAUGGAAUUCCUGGUGGAGCGGUGGAAUGCGCAGAUAUCAGGAGGAACACCAGUGGCGAAGGCGGUUCUCUGGGCCUUUCCUGACGCUGAGGAGCGAAAGCGUGGGGAGCGAACAGGCUUAGAUACCCUGGUAGUCCACGCUGUAAACGGUGGGUACUAGGUGUGGGGUCCAUUCCACGGGUUCCGUGCCGUAGCUAACGCUUUAAGUACCCCGCCUGGGAAGUACGGCCGCAAGGCUAAAACUCAAAGGAAUUGACGGGGCCCCGCACAAGCGGCGGAGCAUGCGGAUUAAUUCGAUGCAACGCGUAGAACCUUACCUGGGUUUGACAUGGAUCGGGAGUGCUCAGAGAUGGGUGUGCCUCUUUUGGGGUCGGUUCACAGGUGGUGCAUGGCUGUCGUCAGCUCGUGUCGUGAGAUGUUGGGUUAAGUCCCGCAACGAGCGCAACCCUUGUUCACUGUUGCCAGCACGUUAUGGUGGGGACUCAGUGGAGACCGCCGGGGUCAACUCGGAGGAAGGUGGGGAUGACGUCAAGUCAUCAUGCCCCUUAUGUCCAGGGCUUCACGCAUGCUACAAUGGCUGGUACAGAGAGUGGCGAGCCUGUGAGGGUGAGCGAAUCUCGGAAAGCCGGUCUCAGUUCGGAUUGGGGUCUGCAACUCGACCUCAUGAAGUCGGAGUCGCUAGUAAUCGCAGAUCAGCAACGCUGCGGUGAAUACGUUCCCGGG
rnacentral:rRNA from 1 species